GUGGUUUGGAUGGAUGGUGGUGUGGAUUUCCAUUCUGGUUAUGAAACUUCUGGUCAAGACACAAACACACGGUUUUGGGAUUUUAUUUGGAUCGCUUUAAAAUCGGCGGCACACAUUAAUUUGAUGGUACAUUCUUAUACAAAAAAAAAACAUAUUUACAGAACAAAAUGUAUAGAUUAAUACAAACAUUAACCACUUAAAAAA